AGAACGAACGCUGGCGGCAGGCCUAACACAUGCAAGUCGAACGGGUAUCUUCGGAUACUAGUGGCGGACGGGUGAGUAACGCGUGGGAACGUACCCUUUGGUUCGGAAUAGCCUCGGGAAACUGGGAGUAAUACCGGAUACGGCCGAGAGACGAAAGAUUUAUCGCCGAAGGAUCGGCCCGCGUUGGAUUAGGUAGUUGGUGGGGUAAUGGCCUACCAAGCCGACGAUCCAUAGCUGGUUUGAGAGGAUGAUCAGCCACACUGGGACUGAGACACGGCCCAGACUCCUACGGGAGGCAGCAGUGGGGAAUCUUAGACAAUGGGGGAAACCCUGAUCUAGCCAUGCCGCGUGAUCGAUGAAGGCCUUAGGGUUGUAAAGAUCUUUCAGUGGGGAAGAUAAUGACGGUACCCACAGAAGAAGCCCCGGCUAACUCCGUGCCAGCAGCCGC
rnacentral:rRNA from 1 species